AGGCCCCAUCCUUUUUUCCCACAAAACUUUAUGGUCCAGGGUCCAUCCAUUCUUGAUUCUCUCGUGGUAUAUAUAUGUAUAUAUAUAUCAGCUGCCGUGGUGAAGAGAAGGAUCAGAGGAUGGAGCGAUGCUGCAAAUGAAAUUGGGCAAAGGCAGGAAGAACGACGGUGAGGGUGACCAUGAUGUGAUGGCCUUGGGAUCUGAGGGUUCUGCAAAGUUUACUAUUACCAAGCUGGCAAGAACCUCACCCCCACGACUACUUGUUUUGCUCUUUGUAUUUCUUCUUAAUUUCAUAGAUUGGGAGGCUAUUAUUAGUUGUGCCGUGAAAAAAGAAAAAAAAAUAUUGUAAACUACAUGUGUUAGGAAUGUCGGAAUUCAAUUGUUUGGUGAACUGUCAAGCCGACCAUUGAAAUAUAUACAUUUUGUUUGUAAGUUGUAUAGACAGUAAAAUGUUGCAAUAUCAUUCCAACAACAUUUUCUUGUGACUUGCUUUUGUUGAGUGGAAUUACAAAGAGAUCACCAAUUCAAGAAAUGUCCCGAUUUAGAGAUAUUCAAUGCCCAUCUGUAAUAUAGCAUUUAGUCGACUCCAGAUAAAAAUUUAUACAAAUCCGCCCCCAGAAAUCAGUUCAAGUUUUUCAAA